UUACAUCAUAUUUCUAUUUGUCGUGAAUAUUUCUUUAGCGCCCUUGUGCCCUGCACUGGCCUCUCUUAUGUCCACAGUUACUGUGUAUGACAGCUGCGAGACCAGAGAUCUGCUCCCUAAUUUUCUUCAGCGACAAGUAGUU